rnacentral:rRNA from 1 species
GACGAACGCUGGCGGCGUGCUUAACACAUGCAAGUCGAACGGAAAGGCCCUGCUUUUGUGGGGUGCUCGAGUGGCGAACGGGUGAGUAACACGUGAGUAACCUGCCCCUGACUUUGGGAUAACUUCAGGAAACUGGGGCUCAUACCGGAUAGGAGCUCCUGCUGCAUGGUGGGGGUUGGUAAGUUUCGGCGGUUGGGGAUGGACUCGCGGCUUAUCAGCUUGUUGGUGGGGUAGUGGCUUACCAAGGCUUUGACGGGUAGCCGGCCUGAGAGGGUGACCGGCCACAUUGGGACUGAGAUACGGCCCAGACUCCUACGGGACGCAGCAGUGGGGAAGAUUGCACAAUGGGCGGAAGCCUGAUGCAGCAACGCCGCGUGCGGGAUGACGGCCUUCGGGUUGUAAACCGCUUUCGCCUGUGACGAAGCGCGAGUGACGGUAAUGGGUAAAGAAGCACCGGCUAACUACGUG